rnacentral:rRNA from 1 species
CCUACGGGUGGCAGCAGUGGGGAAUAUUGGACAAUGGGGGCAACCCUGAUCCAGCCAUGCCGCGUGUGUGAAGAAGGCCCUCGGGUUGUAAAGCACUUUCAGUGAGGAAGAACGCCUGGUGGUUAAUACCCAUCAGGAAAGACAUCACUCACAGAAGAAGCACCGGCUAACUCCGUGCCAGCAGCCGCGGUAAUACGGAGGGUGCGAGCGUUAAUCGGAAUUACUGGGCGUAAAGCGCGCGUAGGUGGCUUGAUAAGCCGGUUGUGAAAGCCCCGGGCUCAACCUGGGAACGGCAUCCGGAACUGUCAAGCUAGAGUGCAGGAGAGGAAGGUAGAAUUCCCGGUGUAGCGGUGAAAUGCGUAGAGAUCGGGAGGAAUACCAGUGGCGAAGGCGGCCUUCUGGACUGACACUGACACUGAGGUGCGAAAGCGUGGGUAGCAAACAGGAUUAGAUACCCCUGUAGCC